UACGGAGGGGGUUAGCGUUGUUCGGAAUUACUGGGCGUAAAGCGCACGUAGGCGGAUUAGAAAGUUAGAGGUGAAAUCCCGGGGCUCAACCCCGGAACUGCCUCCAAAACUGCUAGUCUAGAGUUCGAGAGAGGUGAGUGGAAUUCCGAGUGUAGAGGUGAAAUUCGUAGAUAUUCGGAGGAACACCAGUGGCGAAGGCGGCUCACUGGCUCGAUACUGACGCUGAUGCACGAAGGCGUGGGGAGCAAACAGG
rnacentral:rRNA from 1 species